AAGGAGCUUGCUUCUUCUUGAGAGCGGCGGACGGGUGAGUAAUGCCUAGGAAUCUGCCUGGUAGUGGGGGACAACGUUUCGAAAGGAGCGCUAAUACCGCAUACGUCCUACGGGAGAAAGUGGGGGAUCUUCGGACCUCACGCUAUCAGAUGAGCCUAGGUCGGAUUAGCUUGUAGGUGAGGUAAUGGCUCACCUAGGCAACGAUCCGUAACUGGUCUGAGAGGAUGAUCAGUCACACUGGAACUGAGACACGGUCCAGACUCCUACGGGAGGCAGCAGUGGGGAAUAUUGGACAAUGGGCGAAAGCCUGAUCCAGCCAUGCCGCGUGUGUGAAGAAGGUCUUCGGAUUGUAAAGCACUUUAAGUUGGGAGGAAGGGUUGUAGCUUAAUACGCUGCAACUUUGACGUUACCAACAGAAUAAGCACCGGCUAACUCUGUGCCAGCAGCCGCGGUAAUACAGAGGGUGCAAGCGUUAAUCGGAAUUACUGGGCGUAAAGCGCGCGUAGGCGGCUUGAUAAGAUGGGUGUGAAAUCCCCGGGCUUAACCUGGGAACUGCAUCCAUAACUGUCUGGCUAGAGUACAGUAGAGGGUGGUGGAAUUUCCUGUGUAGCGGUGAAAUGCGUAGAUAUAGGAAGGAACACCAGUGGCGAA
rnacentral:rRNA from 2 species